AUUCUGCAAUGAUGAAGGGGGAUGAUUGAAAAGAGCUGGACUAAAUUGGUCUAACUAGGACACUUGAAGGCUUGUGAAUCAGUUCACACGAUCAGUGUGAAAAGCGGGUAUGAAGACCCAGAUGCUGGUGUGUACGUGUGCAUAUAAGCCCCAACAGCUAGAAAUCAAGCCUUUCUGGCUUCCGAUUGUUGGAGAAGUGGAAACAGUUAAUGGAGUAUGCAAUGAGAUCCCUGGGUCCAGAAAGUGCUCUUCUUGG
rnacentral:lncRNA from 1 species